rnacentral:rRNA from 1 species
UACGUAGGGUGCGAGCGUUAAUCGGAAUUACUGGGCGUAAAGGGUGCGUAGGCGGCAGCGCAAGUCAGGUGUGAAAUCCCGGGGCUCAACCCCGGAACUGCACUUGAUACUGCGUUGCUUGAGUACUGGAGAGGAGACUGGAAUUUACGGUGUAGCAGUGAAAUGCGUAGAUAUCGUAAGGAAGACCAGUGGCGAAGGCGAGUCUCUGGACAGUUACUGACGCUGAGGCACGAAGGCCAGGGGAGCAAACGGG